GGAAGUCGCCGAGUGAUUAGUGAGCGGAGGCAUUUUCUUCCGGCGGGAAGGGCCCCGGAGGCGGGGACUUGGGGGGAAAGUUGAGACGCGAUUACCGGGUUGGUCGGGCCCCAUCUGGGAGGGGUUUGUGGGUGAACUCGGGGUCUCCCGCCCGCAGAGGAGAUGGAUGAGGACGGGCUUCCUCUCAUGGGGUCAGGCAUAGACCUGACCAAGGUGCCAGCUAUUCAACAGAAAAGAACGGUGGCUUUUCUAAACCAAUUUGUGGUGCACACUGUACAGUUCCUCAACCGCUUUUCUACAGUUUGUGAGGAGAAACUGGCAGACCUUUCGCUUCGUAUCCAACAAAUUGAAACAACUCUAAAUAUUUUAGAUGCAAAGUUGUCAUCUAUCCCAGGCCUAGAUGAUGUCACAGUUGAAGUAUCUCCUUUAAAUGUCACCAGUGUCACAAAUGGAGCACAUCCUGAAGCCACUUCAGAGCAACCACAGCAGAGCAGUACACAAGACUCUGGACUACAGGAAAGUGAAGUAUCAGCAGAAAAUAUCUUAACUGUAGCCAAGGAUCCAAGAUAUGCCAGAUAUCUCAAAAUGGUUCAAGUGGGUGUACCAGUGAUGGCAAUAAGAAACAAAAUGAUAUCAGAAGGACUAGACCCAGAUCUUCUUGAGGUAAAGUAAGAACAUUUAUGAUCAAAAUAUGCAGAGCCAAAUUUCUGUUCCCCUUGAAAAUACAAAUAUCCAGACUGGAAAUGAUGGUAUUGCUGAGGCCAGAUGCUCCAGUGCCUGAUGGUGAAAGUGAAAAAACUGUAGAAGAAAGUUCAGAUAGCGAAUCUUCUUUUAGUGACUAAGCUUAAUUUUGAGAAGAAUUACAUAUGCAUGCAUAGGGGUACAUUUACAUUCUGUAAGAGAUGAGCCUGAACUCUCUUAGUCAUAAGAACAUCGAAUGGCCACAUGUCCACUACCAAGCUUCUUCUAUGUUAAAAAUAAUAAUAAUAAAGCAUUUUUAACUUGCC